CAGCCGCCGCGGUAAUACAUAGGAGGCAAGCGUUAUCCGGAUUUACUGGGCGUAAAGUGCGUUGAGGCGGCCCUGUAAGUUGGACGUGAAAGCUCCCGGCUCAACUGGGAGAGGUCGUUCAAUACUGCAGGCCUUGAGGACAGCAGAGGGGGGUGGAAUUACCGGUGUAGUGGUGAAAUGCGUAGAUACCGGUAGGAACACCAGUGGCGAAGGCGGCCCCCUGGGCUGAUCCUGACGCUGGAGGCGAAAGCUAGGGGAGCAAACGGGAUUAGAAACCCCGGUAGUCCUACCCGUAAACGAUGGAUACUAGGUGUAGGGGGUGAAAAAUCCCUCUGUGCCGAAGCUAACGCGUUAAGUAUCCCGCCUGGGGACUACGGCCGCAAGGCUAAAACUCAAAGGAAUUGACGGGGACCCGCACAAGCAACGGAGCGUGUGGUUUAAUUCGAUGCUACGCGAAGAACCUUACCAGGUAUUGACAUGCAGGUAGUAGUGAAGCGAARGCGGAACGAUCCUUCGGGAAGCCUGCACAGGUGCUGCAUGGCUGUCGUCAGCUCGUGCCGUGAGGUGUUAGGUUAAGUCCUGUAACGAGCGCAACCCCUACUGCUAGUUACAUGUGUCUAGCGGGACUGCCCGGUAAAACUGGGAGGAAGGUGGGGAUGACGUCAAGUCAGCAUGGCCUUUAUGUCCUGGGCUACACACACGCUACAAUGGCCGGUACAAUGGGUCGCCAAGCCGCGAGGCGGAGCCAAUCCUGAAAGCCGGUCUCAGUUCGGAUUGUAGGCUGCAACUCGCCUGCAUGAAGUUGGAGUUGCUAGUAACCGCAGGUCAGCCACACUGCGGUGAAUACGUUCCCGGGUCUUGUACACACCGCCCGUCACGUCAUGGAAGCUGGUAACACCUGAAGCCGGUGAGCCAACCCGCAAGGAGGCAACCGUUCGAGGGUGGGACUGGUGACUGGGACGAAGUCGUAACAAGGUAACCGUA
rnacentral:rRNA from 1 species